CUGUUGUCAAUAUUAGCCCAAACAUUGGUAUUCUAAUAGUCUGGAUGAUGAAGGGUCUGGGAGCAUAUGUCAUGUACAAGUUUGCCAUACUUGCAUGAUAAUAUUCGAUAAUCUGUUGGCACUUAUUGGAGAGAAGCAAGGUGCAGAUGCCAAAGCAGCCUUUAAGAAAGUGACAGAUCUAAUAUAUGAAGAAAUA